GGCGACGACGGGCGAGUGCCGCGAGCAGCGAUAGCCGCCGCGGCCUCCGGUCCCCCCUCCGCCGCCUCCGCUGCCCCCCCUCGCUUCCCUCCUCCCACUUCCCGAGCUCCGGCGUGUCCCGGCCACGCUCGGUGCUACUGCAGGAACAAAGGAGGACCCCGCGGCGGCGGCGGCAGCGGCAGCGGCAGCGGCAGCGCCACCUCCGCCUCCGCCCCGCUCCCGGCCCGCGGCGGCCGCUCCGGGGCGCCCGGCUCGUCCCUCCCGGAGGCCUGGGCCCGGCCCCACCGCGCCGGCGUCGCGCGAGCCCGGCUCCUGCGCUCCUGCCCCCGCAGGGUGAGUGGUGCGGGGCGGGGGGAGGGCGCCCGGCGGCUCGUGCCGGGCCGGGGGGUGGGAGUGGGGGGCACCGGGCGGCCGCGGGCCCCUGGCGGAGCCUCCGGGGGCGGGGGGCCAGCCGGCCGGCUCAGGGAGCACAAAGACGGAGGCGUCAUCCUGCCGUCGUGGCCCGAGGUCCGGCGCCCCCGGCCCGCCCGCACCGGCUCCCGCUCCGGCCGGAGAACAAUGCCCGGCGUGUGGGCUCCGGGCCUCCUCCGCGGCCGCCCCGGCCGCCUUCGGCGCGGCGCCCGGCGUGGGCAGCCGGACCCGGAGAGACAAAGGGGCCGCGGCGGCGGCCGCGCCCCCGGCCCCCUGCUCGCCGCACCCCCUCCCCCCCGCCCCCCAGGUCGCCGCCGCCGCCUCCGAGGAGCCGGUCCGAGCCGGUCGGAGCCGGGGGUCGGCGCGGGCCCGACCCGGCCUGCGGAGCUGCUGUUCUGCAUGACUCAGUGGUUUUUGGAGGAGGCCCUGCUGCUGCUGGGCUCUCCCGAGCCAGGCCUCGGCUUAGAGAGGGGCAUGGGGGGACCGAUGGGGUCCGGGGCUUGUUCGGAAAUCCGCUGGAACGUGGCUGGGGGGAUCUUCUGUCGUCGUGGUUUUAGUUUUGCCAGCGUCGCUGCGUUUUUCGCCCGAGAUCCCUUCCAUGAAGGAAAUGGAGCACCUUCCCCUUUGUUUCGUGCAUUUAGGCUGGUGAACGUGAAAUUCUUGCUCGCUUUCCACGCACUCCGUGGAGCUGUGUUUUGA
rnacentral:lncRNA from 1 species